UCACUCUUCAUAUCAUAAAAAUUUCGAAACUACGAGCUUCCAUUAGUCUAAUCCUACUGUACAACAAACAAUACAAAUGAGUAUAAGUUUGCACUACGAAACGAGCAAGCUUGGAUUUUGGACCUAGGGUGCAAACGACUUCAAACAAUGAAAGUCAAUGAAACGAAUCAUCAUAAAACAUUCACUAGAAAAAAACUUGACAGAAAUAUAUCAUUUCUUUUCAAUAGAAAUCCGCAAAUGUAUAGCCUGUUUGGUAUUUUAGUAUGUGUAGUGUAAUUAACUUAAAGUGUAACAGAUAAAAAUUACUUAUCGUUCCGAAAAAUUAUUAAAAUGUUAAAAGAAUCAACAGAAUUAAACGCCCACACUUAA